rfam:Myotis brandtii contig233881, whole genome shotgun sequence.
CAUGCACCGGUGGGGUCCCUCGGCCUGGCCUGCACCCUCUUGCAAUCCGGAACCCCUUGGGGGAUGUCAAAGAGCCAGUUUCAGCCCGAUACCUGCAGGCCAGGCUGAGGGACCCCACCGGUGCACG